UUCCGCUAAGGUUUUUUCUUCUUGCUUUUUUAUUAUUCAUUUUUUUAUUAUUGUUAAUAAUAAUAAUGAAUAUCAGAUCUUUUUGAUGAUAUUUGGUUUUUGAUUUGCAGAUGUUGGUUAUGAAUCUCUUUGCUUUAGUGACGAUAAAUCAGCAUUCAAUGAUGUCGUGUAAAGAUGAGGUGAUGAAUUUGAUAUUUUGUUUCUUAGAAUCUGUGUUUUGAGCAUUUUUAGUUUUCCAUGGGAAAAAGAAUUUGGGGCGAAUAAUAUGUGUACCUGAAACCAGAUCAACUUUCUGUUUAUUCUUACACUGGUGAUCAAAAUUCUUGCUUUUUCUAAUUUUUGGGUUCAUCAUUUACUGCCUUCAGCAGUAGCAUGACUUACUUUAUUUUUAUUUUCCCAAUUCUUAAUUUUUUUUUGUUUGUUUCCUGCAUUUGCUGCCUUCAACAGUAGCAUGACUUAUUCUAUUUUUCUUUUCCCAAUUCAUAAUUUUUUUUUGUUUCCUCAUUAAUGCAUGAUGCAGUUUCUUUUCAACCAGAUUAUGGUAAGAAAUUUACGAAUAUCAAUCGAUAUUAUUUCCAAGAUUUAGUUGUUUCCUUCUUCAGCAGAUAAAUAUGGCUACCAUAAAUUGAUAUUAUUUUCAAUAAAUCGUCUUCUAUUUAUGGAAUUUCCGGGCUUGUCGAAUUAUAUAUAAAGCACUCGCACAAAGAUGAUGGUGAUAUAUCCUCGCAGCGUAGGAUGAAGCGAUGAACUUUUAUCUUUCAUAGUUCACAGUUUUUCCUUAAACAUCUUCUAUUACGCAACCGUAGUUUUUUUUUAAUUCCUUUUUUUCCUUUUAUUGUUUAGUAUUUUUGUUACUUUUAAUUUAUAUUUGGUUUUGUUUUGCAGUUGAUCGUAAUCGUUCCUCAUAGUCAAUAUUGAAACAAUAAAAUUAAAUCUGGACGUUUACUUUCGUACGAGUGUAUAGGUGAGGUACGUUCAAAAGUGUUUCAUGGGUAACUCGAAAGUGUUUAUGGGAAUCCUGAUCAAUUUCUGCAAGAGUUGCUGUGAAAGAAGUGGAAGGAGAAAGCGAUUGAUUUGAGGCGAGCCACUGUUUUCGAUUGGAGGAAUUGCUUUUACUUAUACCAGGGGAACUAAGUGGACUACACAAGGGUUGAUACAUCGUUGACGUAUGGUUAGACUAAGAAAUAAGAGAGCGGCAGUCCGUAAGUAUAACUAUGGAGUCAGGGGAUGGGAGACCGUGACUGUGGAGCAACCUAACUUGUAGAUUAUAUCUCUGUCCGAAAAGGAUACUUCGUUAUCAUUAUCUUUUAAGGAUUAUCUGUAUUAUCUUGGUUUAGGAGCAGGAGAUUGUCAAGAAGGUUUUUAAGAUCAAGAAACAAAAGGAGAAUGUUGGAAAUAAAUAGAUUUGUGAAAACUUUUUUGGGUUAUAUUAGAUGAAGGAAAUUUUGAUUUUCAAGUAGAUAACAAAUGCGUGUUUUCAUGUUGUUGGUUUGGUUCGACUAAAUCGUUUCUUUUGCGUAAAGGUUAAUUUAGGUUCUUUGUGUUUAUGAAGACCCUGAAUUUGUAUGGGGUGGCAUCCAAGGGUUCGAAAAAGGGGUCUAAUAAGUGAUAUGGCGUAGGAGUUCAUCACGGUUACAUUAUAUGUUGAGUUUCUUUGGUUUGUCUUAGGCUUUAAUCAGUUCACUGAUAUAAACUCUUUCAUGUUUGUCGACUGCAUUAUAAGUUCUUGGCUUAUCUGCAUUCGUAACAAAUACUAAUAGUUGUAAGGGUUUCAUUCGAAUCCCAAUCGAUUUGAG